GGCUCGUUGGUCAAGUGGUUAAGACACGGCCCUUUCACGGCUGUAACAGGGGUUCUACUCCCCUACGAGUCACCA
rnacentral:tRNA from 1 species